GUUAUGUCUUUUAGUAGUUGAUUUCAUAGGGUUGGAUUUUAGAUUUUGUUUUUUUUAUUGUUUUGUUAUCUUAAAUCUGCAUAGUAAUGUUUAGUAGUUUAUAUUUUGUACAAUUGAGACUUUUUGAUUAUCAAGCAAAACAUUUAGCGUUUGAGAUUUGUGGUUUAGGGUUUAGGGUUUCGUAGACCUACAAUAAAGUCUAUUUAUCUGUAGACGUCCUUUUCAGUCUAUUUUAUUGGUAUUUACAAAAAAUCUUAAAUUUUAAAUUAAAUUUAGGGUAUAGUAGACGUCUUUUUGGUCUACUAGGAUACAAUUGAUUAAUUUAGGGUAUAGUAGACGUCUUUUUUAGUUUAAUAAGACCUGAAAUUACAAAAAAGAUUGAUUAAAUUUUGUUUUUAUGGAAACGGAAAUGAUAUCAUAUAUUAAACUUAUUAUAAAAAUAAAGAAAAAAUAAAUAAAUUAUAUAUAUAAAUAAAGAACAAAAAAUAAUUUAUAUAAAUAUAUAAAUAUAUAUAUAAAAAAUUGUAAUAGACAUACCGAUUGUAGACCUACUUGUGUGUCUACGGAACCGGAAACAAUUUAAUUUAACCAAAAUAAUAUAAUCUAACAAGUAUUAAACCAGAAAAGUUUUAACCUAACCGGAUAACUUUCCCGACAUAUAAAUACAAUUUUUAGUCUUCAUUUGGUAAAAAAAGACAAACCCUAGCGGCCGUUACUCUCUCUCUCUCUCUCUCUCUCGGGCGAUUUCCGGUGAAGUCAACCCGUUUCUGCCGCUUACACUGGUUGCCGUCCCGCUGCUGCUGCUAUAUCUUCCCUCUGUAAGAUCUGAGCCGGCGAAGGAACAUUGUGUAUGUAUGUCUCUCUAUCCAACUGUUGAGCUUUUGAAGGGCUUGAGAAAGAAGAGGGCCACCUCAAAACAACUAAUCACAACAAUAUUGUAACUUCAGCUCGUUCAACUUCUCUACUCUUUUCAAGAGAAAUCAUGAGUAGGCUAUAAGCAAUCUAGCUAGAGUAGUGAUGAUUCUUCUGCCAUAACCGGCAUUGACAGCUUGCUGGCAAGUGAGGUGCCUAUCGGUUAUCAGGCUGGGACUUUCACUUUAGAGGACUGACCUACAGUCCUGGCAUGGCUCGGUCUAGGCGUUUAAGAGAGAUUCUCCACCGGUUGUAGACUUCAAUAGCGAUCUUGAAACUCUCUGAGACGAGAAAAUUGCAAGAAGGCGGAAGCUUUGUAUCCACUGUCAAUACUGUAUCACAACCAACUGUUACGGACAUUGCAGCAUCAGUAUGUCUAUGGAGUUCUUGUAUUUUAAGCCAUGGCCACAUUCAUUGGCCAAGUCUAUGUUCUAUCGUUGAUUGCACUCUUUGUGGCCGCUUCAACUGCCCUGAUUGUGCAACCAUUUUUUGGCUAGAAUUGGAGGAUAUGAAGUUUUUGGUAAUAGGUGUUUGUAUUAUAUGCCUUUGUACUAGCUAUAUUGUAUUGUGCUUUUGUAUCACUGCUGUAUUAUGUAAUUUUCUUGGAUAUUCUGUACUGAAGUGUACUCGACCGAAAGUAGACUUGUUUAAUACAACUCCAAAUGAAUACAUCAAA